rnacentral:rRNA from 1 species
GAUGAACGCUGGCGGCGUGCCUAAUACAUGCAAGUCGAGCGAACAGACGAGGAGCUUUCUCCUCUGACGUUAGCGGCGGACGGGUGAGUAACACGUGGAUAACCUACCUAUAAGACUGGGAUAACUUCGGGAAACCGGAGCUAAUACCGGAUAAUAUAUUUAACCGCAUGGUUCAAUAGUGAAAGACGGUUUUGCUGUCACUUAUAGAUUGAUCCGCGCCGCAUUAGCUAGUUGGUAAGGUAACGGCUUACCAAGGCAACGAUGCGUAGCCGACCUGAGAGGGUGAUCGGCCACACUGGAACUGAGACACGGUCCAGACUCCUACGGGAGGCAGCAGUAGGGAAUCUUCCGCAAUGGGCGAAAGCUUGACGGAGCAACGCCGCGUGAGUGAUGAAGGUCUUCGGAUCGUAAAACUCUGUUAUUAGGGAAGAACAAAUGUGUAAGUAAUUAUGCACGUCUUGACGGUACCUAAUCAGAAAGCCACGGCUAACUACGUG